CUAUGGAGCUUAAAUUUACAACCCAAACCUUACAUAAACAUUUCUAAGGGUUCCAAAAACACGGUGCCUGGGUGAACAAUUUUGGUUGGGGUGACCUCGGAGCACAAGAAAACCUCCGAAUAUUUUUUGCUCAGACAUUACCAGUCAAAGCAAACAUUCAUACAUAUACAUUGACCCAAAAUUAUUGAUCAACGGAACAAGUUACCCUAG
rnacentral:rRNA from 1 species